UUUUUUUUUUUAUCUUUUGUUGCCAUUGGCUAGUUUCCUUCUUGCAUAAAGAAAAAAAAUGUGUAGGUGAAUAACAGCAUAGAGUUGAUCGAAGAGGAUGAGCUAGUGAAGUGUUUGGUUUAUUGAGGAGAGAGAGAAGUUUGUCUGUCGUAGAUAUUCUCUUGAAAGGAAAGUGUUUGAAAUAGUGACUGAAAAGGCAAAUAAUGUUUAGUUUCUCAUCUGUAUAUUGUUGCUGUUUAGCUUAUACGUCAUUAUAAGUUGAGGGAAUAGUAAUACAUAUAUAUUGCCCUUCCUAAAUGAUUGAUUAUAUAGGUGGUGUUAUAAGGAAAAUAUCCAAGGUAGAGAUGGAUUGAAUAGAUGAACAAUAUUAAGGUUCUUUACUGUUGCCAAUGUUUAAUUCAUAAGCUGUGGAAAUAGUUAUAAUGAUUGUUUUUUCCUGUUCUAGUGUUAUGAUUUGCAUUAUUUUUUGUUCACUCUAAAUCUGAAAAUUUUGCCCUUAUUCUUUGUGAUGUUUGUUGUCCUCUUUGCAUGACACCAGUGAAGUUGUUGUGAUAAUCCUGGGAUGGAGUUUAGUUAAUUUUGGGGCUUAAUUUGCAUUUUUGUUUUCGUGCCCUCAUCCACACACUGUACCUCUCCUUUCAAUGCUCUUUAAGUAACAAUUUGCCAGCACACCUCAAACAUUUAACAUUUUGGGGCUAAACUAGCUAGACCCUCACAGAAUGUUAAAUGUUUUUUUUUUAUUUGUUUACAUAAAAGUGAGACUUAAGCAAAACUCAUGGCCAAUGUUAUACUUCAGUGCGUUUGGGAAACUCCUUGCAUAAUUGAAAGUCAGCUAUGGAAGUUUGUGGGCAUCUGUGCCAAGUUUAAACUGCUGUGGGUGCAGUGGUGGUGGUUCACAAAAUACUCUCUCUCUCUCUCUCUCUCUCUCUCUCUCUCUCUCUCUCUCUCUCUCUCUCUCUCUCUCUCUCUCUCUCUCUCUCUCUCUCUCUCUCUCUCUCUCCACCAAAAGUUGACAAGGCUAAGAGUGUGAAUGAUGUUUAUUCAUCUAAUUGUGCUUUACAGGAAAAGAGAUGCUUGUGCUGUCCUGUUUGUAUAUCUAUAAGCAUCCAGCUUAGCUUUAAAUUCAGGAAUAUUCUUUGCUUGAACCACUGUUUCACCUAGAGUGUUCCAUAUCUUUGUUUGGGAAACUAUUUCUUGAUUUCUCUUCAUUCUUUAUGCUGUCUUAACUUUUUACUUUCACACAUUGACCUUUUGUGUCUACUGUGCCAUCAAACAAGUUUUCUUUGUGAACUUGGUCUAUCCCUUUAAUAGUGUUCAGUAUAUAUAUAGCAAUGAUCUCUCUCUCUCUCUCUCUCUCCCUUGCUGUUUUGUUAGAAGUUUUAAUCUCUUUUGUCUUUCUUGAUAAGAUAAGCCUUUCAAACUUGGAACCAUUUGGAACCAGCUCUUUGAAUCUUUCCUAUAUACUGUACAUAUAUCUUUUUUUUUUUUUUAUUAUUAAGUGACUAAACAGUUGAGGCAUAUUCCAGUUUGGAUCAAAUUCUAUAACUGUUUUUAUUUAUGGAAGUAAAAGCUGUCUUUCAUCUUUUUCAGUUGUUCAUAGGUUUGCCAUCAACAUGGCCUACAUGUAUUCCUGGUGAUAAUCAUUUAUUGUAAUUCCCAAAUCUUUUUCUUCCAGGAUUUUCUUCAUUUCUAUCUCUGCCAUGGUAUAGGAUCUUGCCUGCCUUUUUUCUUUCUUGAGCAUCAUAUUUGCAUUAAAUAUAAUUUCCCAUCCUGUAUACCACUGAUAUAUUCCAUCUAGAUUUUUCUGUUGUAUAUUUCAUAAUCCAUGUAAUUUUCCACUCUUUUCAACAGCUUCACACAGCAUAUAAACUAUAGCAUGCUAGCUUUUAAUCUUGUCCAUAUAUUAUUAUUCAUUAGGAACAUUACAGGGGCCAGAAUUUCCUUUUAACUGUACACUAUUCCAAUUUUUCACUCUUAAUUAUUGUUCUCUUUUCUUUAUCUUUUAAUUAAGAAAUGUAUUACCCAGUUCUUUUUAAUUAAGAAAUGUAUUAUCCAGUUCUUUAUCUCUUAAUUAAGAAAUCUGUUACCCAGCCCAGUGUUUUGCCCUGCAACUCUACAUUUUGACUUUUCCAUAACAAUCUGUGGUGAGAUGCUUACUGUACCCAAUGUUCUAGAUUUAAGUAGACAGUGCACCUAGCCAUCCUUAAUGGAGUACUGCUAUAUUAAUUGCUUGAUUAGCUUGGCCUUUUCUUUACUUUGAGACUCCAUAACCUCUUGAAAUUGAUUUUCUCCCUGUUUUCCUUUCUUUAUUCUUUAUGUUCAUCUCUGAUCUCCAUCACAUUUUCCCUCUUUUCAACUUUUGUCCUGAUUUUCAUUUAUCAUUACUUUGAGCCUUCAGGGAUUGGUUUUCUCUGUCCUGGUCAUGGCACCGGGAGCCUGAGCCAGGGUGGUGUCCAUGGGCCUCAAUGCUUCUCUUACUGUCUCUACUAUCACUUACUCAGGCCAAGCACUACUACAGGUUGAAAAUAUUGUCCAGAACUCUUUCCACUCAAUGCCUGGUGGUGGUGACGACACAGGAAGUAACCAUCAAGGACACAAGACAGAUCAAAGAAGGGAACGUGUGAACACCAAGGAAUUAACAGAAAACAGACUGGCAAUUCCACACACACUUUCGCCGUCGCUGAGAGAGGACGGCUCGUCUCUGGCUGCAGACGGGAAGAAGUGAAAAUACCUAUGGUGUUACAGGGCCCGGGUACCUCUAAGUUAGUGUCCUGUUGAUGUCCUACUGUCGCAUAGUGUUGAAAGUGAGGGAUAUGGAGAGUGGUCCCUGAGAUGAGAGUGUGGGCGGUGAUUGUUUUGGCCGUAAUCAGCUGAUGAGAUAACAAACAUUGCGGCUACUCCGAGACAACCCAAAGAUUUUGAAGGUUUCGUAACUAUUCCAAGAGGACUGGAGAAAUUAGAUAUGGAUGCAAGAAUCCAGGCACUGGAAAGUAAGUUCCUAAACAUUUUGUCCAUACAAGAAAAACUGGAUAGAGUUAUAGCCGAGAAUGAUUCAUUCAAAAA
rnacentral:lncRNA from 1 species